rnacentral:rRNA from 1 species
CCUACGGGAGGCAGCAGUGAGGAAUAUUGGUCAAUGGACGAGAGUCUGAACCAGCCAAGUAGCGUGAAGGAUGACUGCCCUAUGGGUUGUAAACUUCUUUUAUAUGGGAAUAAAAUGUUCCACGUGUGGGAUUUUGUAUGUACCAUAUGAAUAAGGAUCGGCUAACUCCGUGCCAGCAGCCGCGGUAAUACGGAGGAUCCGAGCGUUAUCCGGAUUUAUUGGGUUUAAAGGGAGCGUAGGUGGAUUGUUAAGUCAGUUGUGAAAGUUUGCGGCUCAACCGUAAAAUUGCAGUUGAAACUGGCAGUCUUGAGUACAGUAGAGGUGGGCGGAAGUCGUGGUGUAGCGGUGAAAUGCUUAGAUAUCACGAAGAACUCCGAUUGUGAAGGCAGUUCACUGGACUGCAACUGACACUGAGGCUCGAAAGUGUGGGUAUCAAACAGGAUUAGAUACCCGGGUAGUC